GGGAAUGGGACAGAGUUGGCCCAGCAAGAAGAUAUCUACCCAGCCAUGCCAGAGCCCAUCAGGAAGUGCCCACAGUGCAACAAGGACAUGGUCCUUAAGACCAAGAAGAAUGGCGGGUUCUACCUCAGCUGCAUGGGUUUCCCAGAGUGUCGCUCAGCUGUGUGGCUUCCUGACUCGGUGCUGGAGGCCAGCAGGGACAGCAGUGUGUGUCCAGUUUGUCAGCCACACCCUGUGUACAGGUGAGCUGGGCACCUGAGUCAGGUGCCUCCUCUGGAGUGUGUACACCAUCUUUCCCUUGCUCCUGCCAGAACCCAGAGAGGAGUGUCGGGGAUUCCACUCAGGCCCUGCAGGGGCGUAGCUGUGUUCUGCAGCAGCCAGUUCAGCAGGGCUGGUCCAGUUCUGUUGUGUUCCAUGCUGUCACUGCUUUGGCAGGUAUGACCCUGUUUGGAGUGGGCCAUGGGCAAAGAACCAUGAAGGGCUCUUUCCCUGCCCUCUCCAGAUAGAUGAUUGCUACACCAGGCUUAGGAAAUUAUUCACAUAUUAAAUACAACAUCCAAGCUUGGGCUACGUAGCAAGACCCCAUCUCUUUAAAAAAAAAAA
rnacentral:lncRNA from 1 species